GCAAGUCGAGGGGUAACCUUGUGCUUGCACAGAUGACGACCGGCGCACGGGUGUGUAACGCGUAUAGAACCUACCUUUUACAGUGGGAUAGACUUUAGAAAUGAAGAUUAAUACCUCAUAGUAUUGAGUAUUCGCAUGAAUAUUUAAUUAAAGAUUUAUCGGUAAAAGAUGGCUAUGCGUUCUAUUAGUUAGUUGGUAAGGUAAUGGCUUACCAAGACUUUGAUAGGUAGGGGGCCUGAGAGGGAGAUC
rnacentral:rRNA from 1 species